rnacentral:rRNA from 1 species
CUCUCUUUGUAUAAAGUUAUUUAAAGAGUCGGACCUGCCCGGUGACUAAAAGUUAAACGGCCGCGGUACCCUGACCGUGCAAAGGUAGCAUAAUCAUUUGCCUUUUAAUUGGAGGCUGGUAUGAAUGGUUUGACGAGAGCUAAGCUGUCUCUUUCAGAAUAAAUAGAAUUUAACUUUUAGGUGAAGAGGCCUAAAUUUAUUUGAGGGACAAGAAGACCCUAUUGAGCUUUAGUGGUGUUGUAAAUUAAGUAUAUAAUAAGUGAAUUUAUUGAUAAAUCUCACUUAAGUUAAAAGUAAAUAUGAUUUUAUAAUUUAUUUUUACAAAAAAUCUUUAGUUGGGGCGACUGAGGAACAAAAAAAGCUUCCUUAAAUAAGUUAAGAAUUAUGAAUAUUAAAAGAUUUAUAUUAUUUUUACUAAAUAGAGUUGAUCCAAAAAUUUUGAUCAAUGGAAAAAGUUACCAUAGGGAUAACAGCGUAAUCUUUCUGGAGAGAUCAAAUCGAAAGGAGGGUUUGCGACCUCGAUGUUGGACUAAGAUAUCCGGAGGGUGUAGAAGUUCUCAAUGGUUGGUCUGUUCGACCAUUAAAAUCUU